UGAGGAAUAUUGGUCAAUGGGCGAGAGCCUGAACCAGCCAAGUAGCGUGCAGGAUGACGGCCCUAUGGGUUGUAAACUGCUUUUAUAUGGGAAUAAAGUGAGGGACGUGUCCCUUAUUGCAUGUACCAUAUGAAUAAGUACCGGCUAAUUCCGUUCCCGCAGCCGCGGUAAUACGGAAGGUCCAUGCGUUAUCCGGAUUUAUUGGGUUUAAAGGGAGCGUAGGCUGUUUGUUAAGCGUGUUGUGAAAUGUAAGAGCUCAACUUUUAGAUUGCAGCGCGAACUGGCAGACUUGAGUGCGCACAACGUAGGCGGAAUUCAUGGUGUAGCGGUGAAAUGCUUAGAUAUCAUGACGAACUCCGACUGCGAAGGCAGCUUACGGGAGCGCAACUGACGCUAAAGCUCGAAGGUGCGGGUAUCGAACAGG
rnacentral:rRNA from 1 species